UGGGGAAUUUUGGACAAUGGGCGCAAGCCUGAUCCAGCCAUGCCGCGUGCGGGAAGAAGGCCUUCGGGUUGUAAACCGCUUUUGUCAGGGAAGAAAUCUUCUGAGUUAAUACCUCGGGAGGAUGACGGUACCUGAAGAAUAAGCACCGGCUAACUACGUGCCAGCAGCCGCGGUAAUACGUAGGGUGCAAGCGUUAAUCGGAAUUACUGGGCGUAAAGCGUGCGCAGGCGGUUUUGUAAGACAGAGGUGAAAUCCCCGGGCUCAACCUGGGAACUGCCUUUGUGACUGCAAGGCUUGAGUGCGGCAGAGGGGGAUGGAAUUCCGCGUGUAGCAGUGAAAUGCGUAGAUAUGCGGAGGAACACCGAUGGCGAAGGCAAUCCCCUGGGCCUGCACUGACGCUCAUGCACGAAAGCGUGGGGAGCAAACAGGAUUAGAUACCCUGGUAGUCCACGCCCUAAACGAUGUCAACUGGUUGUUGGGAAGGUUCCCUCUCAGUAACGUAGCUAACGCGUGAAGUUGACCGCCUGGGGAGUACGGCCGCAAGGUUGAAACUCAAAUGAAUUGACGGGGGU
rnacentral:rRNA from 1 species